CCUACGGGAGGCAGCAGUAAGGAAUAUUGGGCAAUGGACGCAAGUCUGACCCAGCCAUGCCGCGUGGAGGAUGAAGGCCUCUGGAUUGUAAACUUCUUUUAUCUGGGAAGCGGUACCAGGUGAAUAAGCACCGGCUAACUCCGUGCCAGCAGCCGCGGUAAUACGGAGGGUGCAAGCGUUAUCCGGAUUCACUGGGUUUAAAGGGUGCGUAGGUGGGUUGGUAAGUCAGUGGUGAAAUCUCCGAGCUUAACUUGGAAACUGCCAUUGAUACUAUCAGUCUUGAAUACCGUGGAGAUGAGCGGAAUAUGUCAUGUAGCGGUGAAAUGCUUAGAUAUGACAUAGAACACCAAUUGCGAAGGCAGCUCGUUACACGAAAUUGACACUCAGGCACGAAAGCGUGGGGAUCAAACAGGAUUAGAUACCCUUGUAGUC
rnacentral:rRNA from 1 species